rnacentral:rRNA from 1 species
UACGUAGGGGGCAAGCGUUAUCCGGAUUUACUGGGUGUAAAGGGAGCGUAGACGGCAUGGCAAGCCAGAUGUGAAAUACCGGGGCUCAACCCCGGGACUGCAUUUGGAACUGUUAAGCUGGAGUGUCGGAGAGGCAGGCGGAAUUCCUAGUGUAGCGGUGAAAUGCGUAGAUAUUAGGAGGAACACCAGUGGCGAAGGCGGCCUGCUGGACGAUAACUGACGUUGAGGCUCGAAAGCGUGGGGGGCAAACAGG